rnacentral:lncRNA from 1 species
UCCCUCCCCCCUGCCUGUUCAAGAAAUGGCAGGAAACAGUAAACACUAAUCCAGAAUCUUUUAUAUAUUUCUAGUUAAACUAGUAUUGACUUUCAGGUAUUGUCUGUAUGUUAGGUGGGUGUGGGGAAAGUCUUGUAACUUUUAUCGAAAUUGUAUUAAACUUCUGUUUCCUAAAUUCAGUAUUUUCUUAAAGAAUUGCUUGGUUUUUCCAAUCAGUAUGUAAGCUUUUGCCAAAUGUUAAGCGGGCUGCUGGCAGUGAGGAGGAAAGCAGCAGUUCAGAGGAGCCCUCCACUAAUGAACAGACCACCCAUGUCUGUAAAAGUCCCCUGUGGGAGCUGGCUCAUGCCAGGUGCGUACCCUGUCACAACAGUGAACUUAGCUGUUUUCUCUCCUGAUGGACAAUGCCAAGCCUGGAUAGAAACCCCGUGCGCAAAUGUACAAUGAGAAGGUGGAGGACUGCUGGAAAAGGAGGAGCAACAGUUCUGCCUUGAGGCCUGCAGCUGGAUAUCCCUCGGUGGAGGAUGUAACGCGCAGCACGCGAGUUGCCACAGAUUUCGCCCUUGUGCUGCGUCAGGCUCAGUGGGUAACUUACCCCCAGAACCAUUGCAUCUGUGUCACCCGCACUGACAGCGUUUCUUCCGGGACUUGUCCUUCAUCUUGUUACUGA